rnacentral:rRNA from 1 species
UAGGAAGGCAGCAGUGGGGAAUAUUGCACAAUGGGCGCAAGCCUGAUGCAGCCAUGCCGCGUGUAUGAAGAAGGCCUUCGGGUUGUAAAGUACUUUCAGUCGUGAGGAAGGUGUUAAGGUUAAUAACCUUAGCAAUUGACGUUAGCGACAGAAGAAGCACCGGCUAACUCCGUGCCAGCAGCCGCGGUAAUACGGAGGGUGCGAGCGUUAAUCGGAAUUACUGGGCGUAAAGGGCACGCAGGCGGUUAAUUAAGUUGGAUGUGAAAUCCCCGGGCUUAACCUGGGAAUGGCAUUCAAGACUGGUUAGCUAGAGUCUUGUAGAGGGGGUAGAAUUCCAUGUGUAGCGGUGAAAUGCGUAGAGAUGUGGAGGAAUACCGGUGGCGAAGGCGGCCCCUGGACAAAGACUGACGCUCAUGUGCGAAAGCGUGGGGAGCAAAC